CAAGGAACACCACUACGGGAAAGCGACCUCAGUGGCUAUGUUCUCUCGCUGAGGUCACGACAGAUAGGGUAGCGAACAAGAUUAGAUAGCGUACUAGUCUAGACAGCAAAGUAGUAGCAGCGGUUUGGAGAGUCCUCCAUAGCUUUCCAGCGGUAGCGAAAGUGUUAAGUGCUCCGUCCGGCGUGUGUAGUCGCAAGGCUGAAACUCAAAGCAAUGGACGGGGGCUCACACAACCCGUGGGGGAUGUGGCUUAAUUCGAGGCGACGCGAAGAACCUUACCUUGGAUUUGACAUGCUUGGGAAUCCCCCGAAACAGGGGAGUGCCUUCGGGAGCCCUUGCACAGCUGGGGCAGCAUGGUCGUCAGCACGUGUCGUGAGAUGUCGGGUUAAGUCCUUUAACGAGCGAAACCCCCCUCGUUAGUCCCAGCGGGUAAAGCCGGGGACUCUAAUAAGAGACCGGUGUUAAACCGGAGGAAGGUGGGGAUGACGUCAAGUCCUCAUGGCCUCUAUAUGUCCAGGGCUACACGUCCUACACAAUGGUGUACAAAGGGAAUUAACUACCGAGAGUAAGCAAAUAAUCAAAAAACGCGCCCCAGUUCGGAUUGCAGGUUGCAACUCGCCUGCAUGAAGCCGGAAUCGCUAGUAAUCGCGGGUCAGCAUACCGCGGUGAAUAUGUUCUUCCGGGUUGUACACACCGCCCGUCAACACACGAAAGUGGGGGGCUACUCCAGUCGCCGAGCUAACCCGUAAGGGAGGCAAGCUCCCCACCGGAACUCCGUGAUUGGGAUGAAGUCGUAACAAGGUAACCAAGGGCGAA
rnacentral:rRNA from 1 species